CAGUCGCCGCGGUAAGACGAACCGUGCGAACGUUAUUCGGAAUCACUGGGCUUAAAGCGCGUGUAGGCGGGAGGGCACGUCCGUCGCUGAAAUCCCCCGGCUCAACCGGGGAACGGGCGCGGAUACGACUCUUCUGGAGGAACGUAGGGGGACCUGGAACUUCCGGUGGAGCGGUGAAAUGCGUUGAGAUCGGAAGGAACGCCCGUGGCGAAAGCGAGGUCCUGGACGUUUACUGACGCUGAGACGCGAAAGCCAGGGGAGCGAACGGGAUUAGAGACCCCCGUAGUCCCUGUCUCUUAUA
rnacentral:rRNA from 1 species